rnacentral:rRNA from 1 species
AGAGUUUGAUCAUGCCUUACAACGAACGCUGGCGGCAUGCCUAAUACAUGCAAGUCCAACGAGAUCUUCGAGAUACUAGUGUGUGCACGGGUGCGUAAUGCGAUGGGAAUGCUACCCUUGGGUUCGGAAUAACUUCGGGAAACUGAAGCUAAUACCGGAUGAUGACGAAUGUCCAAAGAUUUAUCGCCCAGGGAUGAGCCCGCGUAGGAUUAGCUAGAUGGUGGGGUAAAGGCUCACCAAGGCAACGAUCCUUAGCUGGUCUGAGAGGAUGAUCAGCCACACUGGGACUGAGACACGGCCCAGACUCCUACGGGAGGCAGCAGUAGGGAAUAUUGGACAAUGGGGGCAACCCUGAUCCAGCAAUGCCGCGAGAGUGAUGAAGGACUUAGGGUUGUAUAGCUCUUUUACCCGAGAUGAUAAUGACAGUAUCGGGAGAAUAAGCUCCGGCUAACUCCGUGACAGCAGCCGCGGUAAUACGGAGGGAGCUAGAGUUGUUCGGAAUUACU